rnacentral:misc_RNA from 1 species
GAUGAAGAACGCAGCGAAAUGCGAUAAGUAAUGUGAAUUGCAGAAUUCAGUGAAUCAUCGAAUCUUUGAACGCACAUUGCGCCCCCCAGUAUUCUGGCGGGUAUGCCUGUUCGAGCGUCAUUUCAACCAUCAAGCCCUGCUUGUGUUGGGGUCCUGCGGCUGCCCGCAGGCCCUGAAAACCAGUGGCGGGCUCGCUAGUCACACCGAGCGCAGUAGCACAUCUCGCUCAGGGCGUGCGGCGGGCUCCAGCCGUUAAAGCACCCACCUUUCGCAAGGUUGACCUCGGAUCAGGUAGGAAUACCCGCUGAACUUAAGCAUAUCAAUAAGCGGAGGA